UACGAAGGGUGCAAGCGUUACUCGGAAUUACUGGGCGUAAAGCGUGCGUAGGCGGUUCGCUGUGUCCGAUGUGAAAGCCCCGGGCUUAACCUGGGAAUGGCAUUGGAAACUGGCGGGCUUGAGUGCGGCAGAGGGGGGUGGAAUUCCGCGUGUAGCAGUGAAAUGCGUAGAGAUGCGGAGGAACACCGAUGGCGAAGGCAGCCCCCUGGGUCGACACUGACGCUCAGGCACGAAAGCGUGGGGAGCAAACAGG
rnacentral:rRNA from 1 species